rnacentral:SRP_RNA from 1 species
CCGUGCUAGAUGGGGAGCUAGCGGUGCCCUGUGACCCACAAUCCGCUACAGUGGGAUUGAAUUCCCUGCCGAGGCUGUGCUUCGUUUGGACAGUGUUCAUGUAAGUGGUGUUGAUGGUAUGGGCCCUGCGCGAAGAGCUCUCUGUAAACCCCGUCAGGACCGGGAGGUAGCAGCGGUAGCAGAGCGGUCUCUUGUGCGGCAGAUCAGCCUUUCCUGAGCUAACUGCAUGGAUAACGCAGGGGGAGUUCCGUCGGAGCUGGGUGCACGG